UACGUAGGGGGCUAGCGUUGUCCGGAAUCAUUGGGCGUAAAGAGCGUGUAGGCGGCCCGGUAAGUCCGCUGUAAAAGUCAAAGGCUCAACCUUUGAAUGUCAGUGGAUACUGCCGGGCUAGAGUCCGGAAGAGGCGAGUGGAACUCCUGGUGUAGCGGUGGAAUGCGCAGAUAUCAGGGAAGAACACCAACGGCGAAAGGCAGCUCGCUGGGGACGGU
rnacentral:rRNA from 1 species